ensembl:rRNA 5S_rRNA 5S ribosomal RNA
GCCAGCAGCCAUAUCACCCUGCAACUCACAAUUGGUAACCCACUGAUGCUAAGCAGGUGUGAGCCUGGUCAGUACCUGGAUGGGAUACCUCCUGGGAAAAACUAAGGUUGUUGCUGGAA